rnacentral:rRNA from 1 species
UACGUAGGGAGCAAGCGUUGUUCGGAAUUAUUGGGCGUAAAGAGCGCGUAGGCGGUCAGGUAAGUCUGAUGUGAAAUCCCGGAGCUUAACUCCGGAACUGCAUUGGAUACUGCCAGACUCGAGUGUGGGAGAGGAGAGUGGAAUUCCCAGUGUAGAGGUGAAAUUCGUAGAUAUUGGGAGGAACACCGGUGGCGAAGGCGGCUCUCUGGACCACAACUGACGCUGAGGCGCGAAAGCCAGGGUAGCAAACGGG